ACAAAGUGACCAUGAAGAACGGUGUAACGUGAUCCCAUAGAGCGCGAGUCUGUAUAACGUGAUGUGUUGAAAAUGAUCGUACCCGUGCACGACAUGUCUGUGUAGACGUACGCGGUAUAUACUGAGAUCGGGUAGACGGUAAUGUCUACCUGAGGUGUGAUGAAUGGAACAGGGUAAAAGAAACCGUUUAACGGGACUGAUGGAACAGCGACUGAAUGUGACAUAUUUCAGAAUAUCAGCUCAGAAUAAAAGUGAGCAUCAACAACUUCACGGCACGUUACGGGCGAAUCCGAGGUUAGAAAGCAACUACGCAAAAAUGUAGAAGACGACAGUAGAGAUUGUAGAGCGCGGGACUGUGCUUAUGCAGAAUGUAACGCACAGACUGUUUUUAAAGCGGUGGUGUGGAAUGUAAGUGUUACAGUGGAGAAUGUUAUUGUUCGUCAGUGUAGAGUGAAACUGAACGCAACAGCGGAGGAUGAGAGUGCAGGGUAUGAAUGUGUCGGAUCUAACUGCGUAACGUGAGUGUGUAGAAUACACGUGUGUAGGAUCUAACUGUGUAACGUGAGUGCGUAGGAUGUAGCUGUGUAACGUGAGUGCGUAGGAUCUAACGGUGUAACGUGAGUGCAUAGGAUCUAACGGUGUAACGUGAGUGCGUAGGAUCUAACGGUGUAACGUGCGUGCGUAGGAUGUAGCUGUGUAACGUGAGUGCGUAGGAUCUAACUGUGUAACGUGAGCGCCUAGUAUCUAACUGUGUAACGUGAGCGCGUAGGAUCUAACGGUGUAACGUGAGCGCGUAGGAUCUAACGGUGUAACGUGAGCGCGUAGGAUGUAGCCGUGUAACGUGAGUGCAUAGGAUCUAACCGUGUAACGUGAGUGCGUAGGAUCUAACCGUGUAACGUGAGUGCGUAGGAUCUAACUGUAACGUGAGUGCGUAGGAUCUAACUGUAACGUGAGUGCGUAGGAUCUAACUGUGUAAUGUGAGUGCGUAGGAUCUAACUGUGUAACGUGAGUGCGUAGGAUCUAACUGUGUAACGUGAGUGCGUAGGAUCUAACUGUGUAACGUGAGUGUGUAGGAUCUAACUGUGUAAUGUGAGUGUAGGAUCUAACUGUAACGUGAGUGCGUAGGAUCUAACCGUGUAACGUGAGUGUAGGAUCUAACUGUAACGUGAGUGCGUAGGAUCUAACUGUGUAACAUGAGUGCGUAGGAUGUAGCUGUGUAACGUGAGUGUGUAGUAUCUAACUGUGUAACGUGAGUGUAGCAUCUAACUGUGUAACGUGAGUGCGUAGUAUCUAACUGUGUAACGUGAGUGUAGGAUCUAACUGUGUAACGUGAGUGUGUAGGAUCUAACUGUGUACGUGAGUGCAUAGGAUGUAGCUGUGUAACGUGAGUGCGUAGGAUCUAACUGUAACGUGAGUGUAGGAUCUAACUGUGUAACGUGAGUGCAUAGGAUGUAGCUGUGUAACGUGAGUGCGUAGGAUCUAACUGUAACGUGAGUGUAGGAUCUAACUGUGUAACGUGAGUGUGUAGGACCCGAGUGUGUAGGACCCGAGUGUGUGAAUUUGAAGAAUGAGUACAAUGAGUGUGUAUGAUGUCACUGUAUGGAAUGUGAGUGUGUAAAAUCUAACUGUAAGAUGUGAGUGUGUAGAAUACUUUAGGAGUGUGUAGAUGUGAGUGUGGAAUGGAAGUGUGUGUGUAAAAUAUGAAUGUGUAGGAUGUGUGUGUAGAACCUUACUGUGUAAUAAGUGUGUGUGUGUGUGUGUGUGAUAUAUGUGUGUAGAAUGAGUGAGCUCUAAGAUUGUGUAAGAAGAUGUGAGUGUAGAAUGGUGUGUGUGUGUGUGUGUGUGAUAUAUUGAGUGAGUGAGCGCGCGCGCUGUGGCCCCGCCCUCCAUUAAAAGCUACGCUGUCUUUCCUCCCUAGCAGCGCGCUUUAUUAUUCCCCUCACACUGAACACAUUUUCAGCUUUAUUAGCCUGAACUUCAGUUUAUCAAGUUAAUGUGAUUUCAGAAAACUCACCUCACCGCCCUUUUCUCCACACACUGUAGAUCUUUAUUAGCUGCACUGAAGAGAGGGGGUUUGUGAAGUUGGUAUCCAGCACUCGAUGUCCCGGCCCCGGACUCCUCCUCACCCAGAGUGCCGAGGUUGCGCUGUACACGGCCCGCUCGGAACCUGCUUCAAAAUUAC
ensembl:lncRNA